AUAAAAUAAAAUAAUAAAUAAUAAUGAAACUGUCAGCCAUCUUUGUUUUCAUAAUGGCAGUGUUUGCGCUAUUCGUCGGCCAAAGCGAAGCGGCUCCAAAAGUUAAUGUAAACGCUAUUAAGAAAGGAGGCAAAAUUAUUAGAAAGGGUUUUGGAGUAGCUGGCGCUGCAGGGACAGCUCACGAAAUAUACUCUCAUAUCCGCAACAGACACAACUGAUAUUAUUUUUAAUUUACUUAUAGUUAGUUGGUACUUAGUCUUCUUUGUCAUUAUAUAAUUUUUAUUGGCUGAAAUCAAUCUGUAAUUUAUUUUAAUUUUGGAUAGUUAUCUUAUAAAGGAAUCAAAGGAAUAAAUGUUUCAAUAAAAAAACCUGUUAAAAAAGUAGUUUUAUUUUUUUCGAUGCUUUAAACUGUAAUUUAUUUUAAUUUUGGAUAGGUAUGUUAUAAAAAAAUUAAAGCAUGGUUGGAAAACCAUGUUGGAAAGUGAUAAAUAAAUGUAUCAAUAAAAAAACCUGUUAAAAAUAA